GGGCUCGGGUCCCCUCCGCGGGCUCCCCCGGCGGCCGGCCCGGCCCGGAGGCUCGCGGCCGGAGCGGAGCGGAGUGCGCACGCCGGGGUGGCGGGACUUCGGCAAGACCAACUUUCCGUGGCCCUGUCUGGUACGAAGCUUUGGCACAGAUGGCCUCCCGGCGCUUCCCCCAGGGUCGCGUGCUGGCGGGGAACAGCCGGCGAGCACACAGCCCCGGGCGCCCAGAGGGCUGCGAUCUCCCUGCGUGGCUGGGCGCGGGGCUCUGACUAGUGGGGACCCCCCGCCCCGGCUGGACCCCGGCCCUGCGCCGCUCGCCCGGCUCUCCAAGGGCUGCUUUUCCGUUCUAGAAUCUUCCCGCUACCCAGCCGCGGUUCUCCCGCGCGCCUCUAAUUGUAAGCAAACGUAGGUUCCCGCGGCGUCCGAAGCCCCUCAGAGGAAGCCCGAGCCCGGCUCCCCGGCAGCCUCCUGGCCCGGUGUCACCGACUCCUCCUCUUUGGGCCGCUUUGCACGCACCGGCCCCACCUUUUUUGUUCCUAAAGCCAUUCGUCCGCCCCUCCCAGCCCCCCACUCUCUCUCCGACACACUGGCACGAUUUCCUUAGGGCUUUCCCGGACUCCUGAACGCCACUGCUUCAUUCCGUCGACUUGCUCUGCAUUUUCUACGGUGUGCGGCCGUGGGGAGGAUCUUAAGUCCCUCCAGCGAAGGCGAAAGUGAGACCCCGGCCCUUUAUCUGUAAGAAGCGAGCCGUCAGAUUGCAGAGGUGUCGCGCCAGCCGCGCUGCGCGUUGUAAGUGCGGAGACACAGCAGGCUGGGCUCGGCGCUGCGGUGGACGCAGUGGCUCCCCCAAAGUGAGCGGCCGCGGAGCAGGACACGGAGCUCGCGGUCCGACCGGCCCGGCGUGGGGUGCGGUCCCCGCCCAGGGCGCGCGCGGUGGGGUCGCCUGGCCGAAGGUGCGGGCUGCACCUCGCCUCCCUCGCUCUCCGCGCUGGAAUUUCGUGGAGAAGGUAGAGCAAAGACUUGGGCGAAAGAGCCAGGGAAGCUGUGAAAGGGGCACCUACACAAAUUCCCCGCCACUGCCAGAAUGGUGCGGAUCAGUAAAUUGUGUGGCGCACCUUUUAAAAAAUUGAUUCGGGUGUUCAAGAUCAAUAAGAUUAAAAAAAAAAAAAAAAAAGUAGAGGCCGAAAAUAAAAGGCGAGUUACCUCCUGAGUUACCUGUUCUCCCUUCCUCGCCUCCCUCCACUGAGGUCUGAAACUUUUCUAAUUGUUUUUAUUUAGUGCAGCAAGUUUUAAUGAAAGCAUAGGCGUCUAAAGUUUGAGUCCCAACAAUAGGUUUAUUGCCAGGCGACAACGUGUCAAGCAGAAUAUCUUCAGAGAUGAGGUACAGGAUGUGUCCUCCAGUCACGCCCAGACUGGAGGACCCCCGGAGCUGUGCAUCAGAGGCGCAGACACCGAGUUGCACUGGCGACACACAAGUCCCUACCGUCACAUGACCACUGUCUAUUAAAAUAUUGUGAUACCUAAACACUCUUGCAAAAACAAAAGUUGCUUUU